GAAGAUUUAGUGUUUAUUCCAUGGAGAAAUUCUAAAUUAACAAGAAUUUUAAGCAAAAGUUUAGGUGGAAAUUGUCGUGCAUCUGUUAUAGUUGCUGUUCACCCAUCUCAUUUUUAUCUGGAUACGUCUUUUUCAACUUUACGCUUUGCUUUAAAAUGUAAAAAAAUAAAGAAAAAAAUCGAGGUUAAUUUUUUAUCAGCAGAACAAUCUGUUAUUGUGCAACAAAAAGAAUUAAUAGCUAAAUUACAAAAUGAAUUAAAACAUUUAGCUACUGCAAAAAAUGUUCAAGUAUCUAUGGCGGGUGUACAUAAAUAUUAUGAGCGUAACAUAAAUCCUGAAAAUGAUGAAAAAAUUUUGGCAUUAAAAAAUGAAUUAGAAGAAAAAGUAAAAAAGUUUCAAAAUUUUAUUUUAAAAUCAGAAUUUCACGUAAAUCCAAAUCAUUAUAGAGUAUAUAGAUCUUUAGAUGAAAGUACUGAAAAAUCACUAAAAUAUUCUAUGUCAAUUUCUAACAAUAUUAAAAAUGAGUAUAAUUGGUUAAGGUCUCUUGAAACACACGAUUAUGAUGCUAGAUGGGAUGGAAUAGAAAAAUAUGAAGAUCAUAAUGUACAAGAAAAAUUCAAUAUAUCGAAAGUAAUGGAUUAUUUAAAAAAUAAACCACCAUCCAAAAUGAACUCUACAGAAAAUAGCGAAAACGCAUUAUCUAUUGAAUCGCAUAAAGAAGAUGCUAAUUCUUUAAAUUAUUUUAACGUGUUGGAUGAACUAGAAAAGUUGGAGAAAAGUGAAGUAACAAAAAAAAAAAAAAAAGAUAAAGUAGGUGAUAUAAGUAGUAAUAUUUCGAAUAAUAAAAUAAAUGACGAAUUCGAUAAGCCAGCUGUUGUGAAAUAUCAAACUUGGUAUGCUGGCGAUAAAAAAUCAGAAUAUACAAAAAAAAAAAGUAGAAAAAAAACAGGAAAAAAAUUAACAAUUGUGGCCCCAAGUGUAAAUAAUUAUAAAGAUGUUAUAGAAACAUUCAAAAGUAAAGAUAUAACAAAAAAAAAAAGCAUCAAAGUAGCAGGUAGCAAUAUGAAAAAAAAAAAAAGUGUUUUUAUCAAAGAAAAUAGCGAUACAUUUAAAAAAGUGGACUCGGAGCAAAGAGAAGAAGAGGGAGAAAAAAAUAUAUACAAAGAUUUAUUAGAAGAUGUAAAUGAGAAUGCUAAAAAUGAGCAAAACUCUUUUUCGAACACGGUUAAAAUGGAGGAGAAAAAUAUAUACGAUAAUGAUAGCAGUAAUAUUACUACAGAAUCAAAAAAUGAUAAUAACAUAAACAAAUUAAAAACAAAAGCAACCAUCAAUUUUAAGAACAUUAAAGAACAAGACCAUAAUGAAAAGAGAACUUUUAUUAUAUCAAAAUUAAAAGAGAAAAUUGAAGAAGAUUUACAAAAAAAAAAAAAGGUUAUUGAUAGAAAUGUGGAACUUAACAAACAAAUAAAAUUUAUAAUGAAACUUAUGCAAAAAGUUGGACUAUCUACCAUUUUAACUGGAACUGUUCCACCAGGAAGGAAUAUUGAAAACGUUUUAAAACUGCAAGAGACUUUAAAAGAAAAAUUAAAUUUAUACAAUAGUAGUAGCAAACACUCAUCAUUAAGGUCAUUAAAAAAACUAAACAAUAGUAAAGAUGAUAAUUCACAUAAUGCUCUCAAAAACAGUGGUAUUGAUAAAGAGCAAGAAAAUAAAACCGAAAAAAAUGAUAAAGCUUUACUAUGUGAACAAUUUGUGGAUGAUGAAUGUGAAGGUGAUGAUGAUGAUAAUAAUAAUAAUAAUAAUAAUGACGAUGACAAUGAGGCAGAAUACAAUGAAAGCAUAUCUCACGUAUUUAUAAAUGAAAUGUUCUAUUCUUUCAUACUUAAAUUACAACAACAUAAUAACACAUGUGAUAAUUCUUUAAAUAACGUUGAAGAACAGUUAAAAAAUGAAGAAAAACCUUACGAUUUGUCUAAAAAAGCGAUAGAAGAUAUAUUAGGAAGUACAAUAGCAAAUAAACUUGAUGAUAAAGAAGUUAACACAGCAAAAAGUAUAAAAGAUGGUAAGAAUAAAGAAACUAUCGAUUCAAUUUUAAAUAUGCUUACCCCAUGGGAACAAAAAAUAUUAGCUCUAUUAUAUGAACAACAAAAAAUGAAAAAGAGUGUUCGUACAAUUAAGGAAAAAUUUUCACAACGCAUUCAACAUAUUAACGUGUUUAUUAAAAAAAUACUUAUCGAUAAGAUUGAAGUUGAAAGACACUUUAAUCGCAUUAUAAAAGCAACAGAAUGUUACAAAAACGAUAUGUUGAAAACUUCUGAUGUCGAUUCUAAUUUUAAGUUUGCUGGUUUAAUGAAAAAAUUAGAAGAACUUUCUAUAUCAUUAGCUGAAAAAACAAGAGACUUUAAUGUGUUAGCAGAAUUCCAUUUAAAUUUAAAAAAACAAAUGGAAAAAAAAGAUUUUUUAAUAAAAGAAUUACAAGAAGAAAACAAAUUGUUUUAUCUUGUUCCAAAAUAUAAUGAACUCUUAAAUGAAAUCGAUAAAAAUAAUGAAAAUGAUAAAAAAUGGUGAAAAUGAUAAAAAUGGU
ensembl:lncRNA